rnacentral:rRNA from 1 species
UACAGAGGUCCCAAGCGUUGUUCGGAUUCACUGGGCGUAAAGGGUGCGUAGGUGGCCGGGUAAGUCUGACGUGAAAUCUCCGAGCCUAACUCGGAAACUGCAUCGGAUACUAUCCGGCUUGAGGAUUGGAGGGGGGACUGGAAUACUUGGUGUAGCGGUGAAAUGCGUAGAUAUCGUCUGGAACGCCGAAGGUGAAAACAGCUCGCUGGGGCUGCGCUGACGCUGAGACACGAAAGCCAGGGGAGCGAACGGG